GUUUAAAUAUAAUUACUAGACGGAAAGCAGCACGCGCGGAAACCAUGCAGAUGAAUGGGAUUAGGCUCCGCCUCUUUUGGAUCAUUUGAAGACAAAAUAAGCCACCGAGGCGGCUCUUUGAUUGGAUAUGAGCCUCAUGAAUAUGUAUUUUAUCGAUAGUAUCGUUUAAGAAACCGGAUAAUAUAUUUGACCUCAUUGCGUCACUUUUAUUAUGCAGAUUUAUGCACGACGCAGGCUACUCGCACAAACUGAGAAGAUUUAGUUCAUUGAGAAUGGAUUGAAACUAAUGAAGAGCUGGAAGGAGUUAACUGAUGAGUAGACAUUACAACAUUUCUUAUAUUUGCAAGAUGAAGCUGAAAGUCCCAUUGCAGGAUGAUGCUUCUCUACAGUGGAUGAUGAAGGCAUGCUGAUUACAAACCCAGGAGAGGAACAAAGAACAGAUAUUGACAGAAGCAUAUCUAGAGAUGCGGGCCUACUACACUUCAUACGAGCAAGUGUGCUAAUAUACAAUGUAGGUACCCCCAAUAACCUAUUGUAGAACACAUAUCAUGCAGAAAGUUAUAGAUCUGAAAAACAUAUUUUUCAUUGUCCGUUACUUGUAAAAGAAUACUUGACUGAAUAUCACAAUUGUGAUUUAGAUUUAAA